UUGACCAAAAUGUUCAUUCUGUUUUUUCCAUAACAUCUUAUGGAAAAACCUGAACGAACUUUUUGGCCAA
rnacentral:miRNA from 1 species